UUUCGCCCUUAGAGUUUGAUCCUGGCUCAGAGCGAACGCUGGCGGCAGGCUUAACACAUGCAAGUCGAGCGGGCGUAGCAAUACGUCAGCGGCAGACGGGUGAGUGACGCGUGGGAACGUACCUUUUGGUUCGGAACAACACAGGGAAACUUGUGCUAAUACCGGAUAAGCCCUUACGGGGAAAGAUUUAUCGCCGAAAGAUCGGCCCGCGUCUGAUUAGCUAGUUGGUGAGGUAACGGCUCACCAAGGCGACGAUCAGUAGCUGGUCUGAGAGGAUGAUCAGCCACAUUGGGACUGAGACACGGCCCAAACUCCUACGGGAGGCAGCAGUGGGGAAUAUUGGACAAUGGGGGCAACCCUGAUCCAGCCAUGCCGCGUGAGUGAUGAAGGCCCUAGGGUUGUAAAGCUCUUUUGUGCGGGAAGAUAAUGACGGUACCGCAAGAAUAAGCCCCGGCUAACUUCGUGCCAGCAGCCGCGGUAAUACGAAGGGGGCUAGCGUUGCUCGGAAUCACUGGGCGUAAAGGGUGCGUAGGCGGAUCUUUAAGUCAGAGGUGAAAGCCUGGAGCUCAACUCCAGAACUGCCUUUGAUACUGGGGAUCUUGAGUUCGGGAGAGGUGAGUGGAACUGCGAGUGUAGAGGUGAAAUUCGUAGAUAUUCGCAAGAACACCAGUGGCGAAGGCGGCUCACUGGCCCGAUACUGACGCUGAGGCACGAAAGCGUGGGGAGCAAACAGGAUUAGAUACCCUGGUAGUCCACGCCGUAAAC
rnacentral:rRNA from 1 species